rnacentral:lncRNA from 1 species
GCUCCUGGUCCUACGCAUAUCACCCAUCACUUGCAUGUGCCCUGGUGAGGCUCCAAUCCAGGAUGUAAACACCGCUGAGAGAUUUCCACCGAAAAUGGAUGAGUGGGGAGCUGGCUUCAGAAUGAAUGGGGACCAUCCAGCCUGGAAGGGAUGCUAGGAUGCCCCACCCCCAACAUAAGUGUCACCUCUCUGUACUGAGACCCAUUGAGUCUCUGAAGAUCUCUUCUCAACAGUAACCUGUAUGAAAUCAUCAUGUGACUUCACAGGAAAUUUGAUCACAGGCUCAGGUGGAAUAAGUCAUAGUUUCCUCUGGGUGCCCAGCCCUGUUCAUGCUGGCUGUGGCUUCAGAACACUGCCCCUCCAGGAGAAACUGCAAGAGAAAACUGUUCAGGAACAUCUUCAGGUGAGGAAACCAAGACAUAAAAUAGUUAAGACCCGAAGUCAAACGUUAACCCUGAAACAAUCUUCAAAGCCUGCUGAGAACAAAAGAUUGCAUACUCUGUCCUCAGCUUUACUUGCUUGACCUGCUUUCCAACCUGGACUGAAGCCACAGAGCUCAAGAAGUU